rnacentral:rRNA from 1 species
AGAUAGUGAUCCGACCUCAGAUCAGACGAGACGACCCGCUGAACUUAAGCAUAUCAGUAAGCGGAGGAAAAGAAACUAACCAGGAUUCCCCUAGUAGCGGCGAGCGAAGAGGGAAAAGCCCAGCGCCGAAUCCCCGCCGCCCAGUCGGGCGCGGGACAUGUGGCGUACGGAAGAUUGUUUUCCCGGUGUCGGCGUGGGGGCCUGAGUCCUUCUGAUUGAGGCUCAACCCGUGGACGGUGUGAGGCCGGUAGCGGCCCCCGUCCGGCCGGGCGCAGUCUUCCCGGAGUCGGGUUGCUUGGGAAUGCAGCCCAAAGUGGGUGGUAAACUCCAUCUAAGGCUAAAUACUGGCACGAGACCGAUAGUCGACAAGUACCGUAAGGGAAA